GUGCUCACUUCAUCAGCACAUAUACUAAAAUUAGAACCACACACAGAAUAUUAGCAUGGCCCCUGCACAAGGAUGACACACAAAUUCGUGAAACAUUCCAUUUUUUA
ensembl:snRNA U6 U6 spliceosomal RNA